AAACAUGGGGGGAGGGAGUAGGGUUCUAAGUUAGAAAACGAGGCAGUGAAUAUGGCGGUUACAGAUGUGGGUUUCGAAGCCAAACAAUGCCAGAGUUUCUCAGCUGUAAAACUGAAGAUAUCUACUCAGUAGAAUUAACGUAAGGAUUGGUAAAAUAAUAUAAGUAACAAGUGCUAUAAAUGUAGAGAUGGAGGGAAACAAUCCCUGUCCUUAUCUGGCGCUCCCAGCCCCUCCUAAACCAAGAAGCACCAGCAACCCCAGUUUAAGCAUUCUGCCCCUUCAAACGCUUUCACGAUGGGCGCGACAUCACCACACUCGCUUUCUCAGUUUCUUUAUUAGUUUUUUAGCACAGUUAACUCUUUCUAUACUGACAAGGGUUUUUAUUUGUGUUACAUUUUGUCAUCUCAAAGUCUCAUGACAUCAGCCACCAAAAUACACAAAAUUAGGCUCUGUACAGAGUUGAAAAUAAUAGAUUCCAUUAAAAGUUCACCUGACCAAAGAAGAGAGAACCUCCGCUGGAAAACCACACACAGGAGGACCCAAUAUACAUAUAUAUAUAUAUAAUGUAUAGGUAUUUAUAGGUAUCUCAUUUGAAGACACAGCAGAAAAAAAAAAAAAAAAUAUCCAGGAUUCGCAGUGCUAUGUAUACAGUAAGAGGAAUUAAUUCUACCAGCUUUCAAACAGUCAUAUUCAAUAUUCAAAGGAAGCACGUGAGUGAAUAGAACUGGGGACAGACUAACACUCCACCAGGCUCUAGAGCAGUCUAGUAAUGCUAGUAAUGGCUUAAGAUUAUAGAAGGGGGUGAUAUGUGCAGAAGAAAUAUGGAUGUUGAUGUCCUCCCAGCCUUAGAACACCUCCCACACGACCCUCCCCCUCCACAGCCCUUUAUUUUUUCAUUGCUUUCUCCCCUCUGUCUUGGGGUGGCAAUUGAUUUAGGCUCCAAGACAAAUGGUUAUGGUUUCUGGGCUGGGAGAUUCCACUUGAUAAGGUGGGUGGAUGGGAAGUAUAUG